AUUGAACGCUGGCGGCAUGCCUUACACAUGCAAGUCGAACGGUAACAGGUUAAGCUGACGAGUGGCGAACGGGUGAGUAAUAUAUCGGAACGUGCCCAACUGUGGGGGAUAACUACUCGAAAGAGUGGCUAAUACCGCAUACGACCUGAGGGUGAAAGCGGGGGAUCGCAAGACCUCGCGCAGAUGGAGCGGCCGAUAUCAGAUUAGGUAGUUGGUGGGGUAAAGGCCCACCAAGCCAACGAUCUGUAGCUGGUCUGAGAGGACGACCAG
rnacentral:rRNA from 1 species